AGUAAAGAAGUAAAAUACAAUUAAUUUCGACCUAAAAUUAGAGAAAAUUCUCCAUACUC
rnacentral:tRNA from 1 species